UCCGAAAGGUCAAGGUCACUCACACACAAAAAAUCCGACAUCAUGCAAUGUGCGUGUGCUAUUUUGUCGCAAUCUUUUAAACAAAUAAAAAAAGAAGAGCUUAAAUACUUUUUGUGUCGCCAUACGUUAACGUGAAUUGGAAAUUCUUAAAAAUUCAGUGACAUAGCCAUCUCAUUGACAUUCAUAUAUACAACAAUAAUGGAAUCAUCUCAUGGAAAAGAAGCAAAUAGUUCUGGUUUAAAUGAACAACAGGAGACCGAGCCAACAACCCCCUCCACCCCAGGGAAAAUGAGCUGCGCCAGUGCUGAAGCCAUAGCGCGAUUCCGGAGUUUCAACAUGCCAGAGGAGCUGAAUUGCGCAGAUCAUGUCACCCAUUCCGGAACUCAUGUGGCGGAAGUGGUAUACACAGAAAGAACAGCGUUGUGAUCAUACAGAAAUGGGUUGUGAUCUCAUGUUGCCUUAUAUAUACAUGUAUGCAUAUUGUAUUUAUUGAGUCUAUAAACACAUAUGCAUUUAUUAGCUCGACUAUUAUAUAUGAAAUAUAUAUAGUGGAGCUAUCCAUUCCUACUCACCCCGGCGUCGGCGUUAGCGUGCAAAUGUUAAAGUUUGCGUACCACCCCAAAUAUUUCCUAUGUCCCUUGACAUAUUGCUUUCUUAUUUUGCAUACUUCUUAACCACCAUGACCCCAACCUAUAAACAAGAGCAGACGACUGUAUCAAGCAUUUUGUAAGAAUUAUGGCUCUUUUUCCACUUAGAAUAUGCAUACUAUUGAUAACUCUAUGUUAAAGUUUGCGUACCACCUCAAAUAUUUUCAAUGUCCCUUGACAUAUUGCUUUUAUAUUUUGCAUACUUCUUAACCAACAUGACCCCAACCUAUAAACAAGAGCAGACAACCGUAUCAAGCAUUUUGUAGGAAUUAUGGCCCUUUUUGUCUUUGUAACUUUGAAUAUUUUGUUAAAUUUUGCGUUAAGAUCCACUUUACUUCUAAAGUAUCAAGGCUAUUGCUUUCAAACUUCAAAUACUUUCUUACUAUCAUGAUGUUACUGUACCUUGUAAGUUGAAUUUGACCUUGACCUUUGAAUGACCUUGACUCCAAGGUCAAAUUAAUAAAUUGUGCUUAAUUUGCCAUAACUUCUUUAUUUAACAUCAGAUUUGAUUUAUACUUUGACAAUACAACACUUACCUGACAUACCACAAUGGACUCCACCCAAACUAUCCCCCACGCCCCACCCCAGAAUCCCCCCCCCCCAAAAAAAAAAAUAAUUUUUUUUUGAAAGAUCACCAUUAAAUGACCACACACCCACAUUAUACCCCGCUCUCCAUAAUGGCUUGCGUUAUACUGUCAAGCACUCGAAUAGUUGAGCGCAUUGUCCUCUGACAGCUCUUGUUUAUUUACUUGCAAAUAUAGCAUUGUCUGUUUAGGUUAACAAUCAGUGGCCUACAAAGUUUUCGUGUGUCUAAUUGUACAUGCUUUUCUCCUGAUCAUGGUAUUAAAAUGUACAGGUCUUUUUA